GGGGGGGCGCCUUUGCCCCCCGGGCCCGUGCCCGCCGGAGACCCCAACACGAACACUGUCUGAAAGCGUGCAGUCUGAGUUGAUUGAAUGCAAUCAGUUAAAACUUUCAACAAUGGAUCUCUUGGUUCCGGCAUCGAUGAAGAACGCAGCGAAAUGCGAUAACUAAUGUGAAUUGCAGAAUUCAGUGAAUCAUCGAGUCUUUGAACGCACAUUGCGCCCCCUGGUAUUCCGGGGGGCAUGCCUGUCCGAGCGUCAUUGCUGCCCUCAAGCCCGGCUUGUGUGUUGGGUCGCCGUCCCCCUCUCCGGGGGGACGGGCCCGAAAGGCAGCGGCGGCACCGCGUCCGAUCCUCGAGCGUAUGGGGCUUUGUCACAUGCUCUGUAGGAUUGGCCGGCGCCUGCCGACGUUUUCCAACCAUUUUUUCCAGGUUGACCUCGGAUCAGGUAGGGAUACCCGCUGAACUUAAGCAUAUCAUAGAACGCGAAGGAUUUC
rnacentral:rRNA from 1 species